UUUUAGUAGCCACUUAGUCACAAACACUGACCAAAUUUAGCAUUUUUGCAUUUUUAUCACACAAACAAAUAUAAAUGCUAACUUUGGCCAGUGUUUGUGACUAAGUGGCUACUAAAAAAG